rnacentral:rRNA from 1 species
UACAGAGGUCCCAAGCGUUACUGAGAAUCACUGGGUUUAAAGGGUGCGUAGGUGGUCCGUUAAGUCAGUUGUGAAAUCCCCGGGCUCAACCCGGGAACUGCUUCUGAUACUGGCGGACUUGAGGCCAGUAGGGGUCACUAGAACUGACGGUGGAGCGGUGAAAUGCGUAGAUAUCGGGAGGAACACCUGUGGCGAAAGCGGCGCACUGGACCAUAACUGACGCUGAGGCGCGAAAGCUAGGGGAGCAAACAGG